GCGAAGUCAAGUCCGGAUCCGCGGGGAUUGCAGCUGGCCUAACGGCAUGUGCUCGUCCCUUGGGUCUGUGACCUUCACUACCACACCCCACUGUGAACCAAGCGGGAGGUCGAAAGGCCUCUUGCAUCUUAUAAAACCCCAAUUGCAUGUCUUGGAAUGUCAUAGCGUUAACUCGCAACUAUA
rnacentral:misc_RNA from 1 species